GCAGCCAUCAUUUAAAGAAAGCGUAAUAGCUCACUGGUCGAGUCGGCCUGCGCGGAAGAUGUAACGGGGCUAAACCAUGCACCGAAGCUGCGGCAGCGAACGUAUCACUUAAAGCGAUUCAGCGGGUUACGAUUGACGGAGCGAAGCGACGUCAAAGCGUAUACAAAGUCGAGUCGGUUUAAGGAUACGUUCGUUGGGUAGGGGAGCGUUCUGUAAGCCUGCGAAGGUGGCCUGUGAGGGUUGCUGGAGGUAUCAGAAGUGCGAAUGCUGACAUAAGUAACGAUAAAGCGG
rnacentral:rRNA from 1 species